ACACACACACACACACACACACACACACACACAGAGUCACGUGAUUUCCAGUAACUGCAGAGCGGAGGAGGAGCAGCCAGUGAAAGUGAAAGUGUUCAGACUUGUUCUAACAACAAGGAGCAGACGGAGGAGACGUGAAGUCUGAGGCUGAGAGAAGAAGAUUCAGGAUGAACUUCUGUCAGUCAAUCAACAGUUUGACUCAACGCUGUGAUUGGCUGAGUCCAACACAUUAAACCUACAACUGUCUCAGGUUACCGUGACAACAGGGACACAGUACUGAAGAUGAGUGGUUAUGAGGAGGAAGAGGAGGACGGAGCAGAGUCUCCAGGGUUCAGCUGUGUGUCUCUGAAGAGUGACCGGUCCAUGGGACAUCCUCCAGUCUUCAGUAAUGAACCUGGACCCUCACACACAGAAGGUCAGGACCACAGACUGAGAGCAGAGUCUCCAGGGUCCAGCUGUGUGUCUCUGAAGAGUGAC